GGUUGAUUUUUGUGUCGAACAUUUUUUUUUUUUUUUUUUUUUAAAGUGAAUCUUAUAAUAUAUUUCAUUGAUUUGAUGUGUCAUUUGUUUUUACAGGGUCUUACUGAGAUCAAUCCAUACCAUAGAAGAACAAUAGGCGCCUUUAACCCGAAUUCCAACAUAUGACGAACAAUAUAAACUUUCAUUUCAUUCAUGUUUUAACACUUUUACUUAAAU
rnacentral:lncRNA from 1 species